rnacentral:rRNA from 1 species
UCAGUAGUAGUUCCUUGGAUUGUACCUUACUUACUUGGGUCACUGUGGCAGUUCUAGAGCUAAUACAUGCAGCAGAGCUCCAAUCCGCUGAGGACGAGCUCUUUAUUAGACCGAACCCAAUCGGGCCUCGUGUCCGUAUUAUGUGGCGACUCUGUGUAAAUUUGGCCUGACCUCAAGGGUUCGUCCGGCGACGUAUUUUUCAAGUGCCUGC